rnacentral:rRNA from 1 species
UUAAAAAGCUCGUAGUUGAAUUUCGGGGUCAGUAGGUCGGUCGUGCCACUGGUAUGAACUGGUUUUACUGGUUCCUCCCUCUUGAAGAACUGUAAUGCCAUUAAUUUGGUGUUGCAGGGAAUCAGGACUGUUACUUUGAAAAAAUUAGAGUGUUUAAAGCAGGCUUUAGCUUGAAUACAUUAGCAUGGAAUAAUGAAAUAGGACGUUUGAUCCUAUUUUGUUGGUUUCUAGGAUUGACGUAAUGAUUAAUAGGGAUAGUUGGGGG